rnacentral:rRNA from 1 species
GAUCAUGGCUCAGGAUGAACGCUAGCUACAGGCUUAACACAUGCAAGUCGAGGGGCAGCAUGGUCUUAGCUUGCUAAGGCCGAUGGCGACCGGCGCACGGGUGAGUAACACGUAUCCAACCUGUCGUCUACUCUUGGACAGCCUUCUGAAAGGAAGAUUAUACAGAUGGCAUCAUGAGUCCGCAUGUUUCACAUGAUUAAAGGUAAUCGUGACGAUGGG